AUUGAACGCUGGCGGCAGGCCUAACACAUGCAAGUCGAGCGGCAGCGACUUAACUGAACCUUCGGGGAACGUUAAGGGCGGCGAGCGGCGGACGGGUGAGUAAUGCCUGGGAAUAUGCCCUGAUGUGGGGGAUAACUAUUGGAAACGAUAGCUAAUACCGCAUAAUCUCUUCGGAGUAAAGAGGGGGACCUUCGGGCCUCUCGCGUCAGGAUUAGCCCAGGUGGGAUUAGCUUGUUGGUGAGGUAAUGGCUCACCAAGGCUACGAUCCCUAGCUGGUCUGAGAGGAUGAUCAGCCACACUGGAACUGAGACACGGUCCAGACUCCUACGGGAGGCAGCAGUGGGGAAUAUUGCACAAUGGGGGAAACCCUGAUGCAGCCAUGCCGCGUGUGUGAAGAAGGCCUUCGGGUUGUAAAGCACUUUCAGUAGGGAGGAAGGUAGUGUAGUUAACACCUGCAUUAUUUGACGUUACCUACAGAAGAAGCACCGGCUAACUCCGUGCCAGCAGCCGCGGUAAUACGGAGGGUGCGAGCGUUAAUCGGAAUUACUGGGCGUAAAGCGCAUGCAGGCGGCCUGUUAAGUCAGAUGUGAAAGCCCGGGGCUUAACCUCGGAAUUGCAUUUGAAACUGGCAGGCUAGAGUCUUGUAGAGGGGGGUAGAAUUUCAGGUGUAGCGGUGAAAUGCGUAGAGAUCUGAAGGAAUACCAGUGGCGAAGGCGGCCCCCUGGACAAAGACUGACGCUCAGAUGCGAAAGCGUGGGGAGCAAACAGG
rnacentral:rRNA from 1 species